rnacentral:rRNA from 1 species
CCUACGGGUGGCAGCAGUGGGGGAUAUUGCACAAUGGGGGGAACCCUGAUGCAGCGACGCCGCGUGGGUGAAGGAGUGCUUCGGCAUGUAACGCCCUAUCGGCAGGGAAGAAGCAAGACGGUACCUGACUAAGAAGCCCCGGCUAACUACGUGCCAGCAGCCGCGGUAAUACGUAGGAGGCGAGCGUUAUCCGGCUUCACUGGGUGUAAAGGGCGCGUAGACGGCCAGGCAAGCCAGGGGUGAAAGCCCGGGGCGCAACCCCGGGACUGCCCUUGGAACUGCAUGGCGGGAGGGCGGGAGGGGCAGGCGGAAGUCCUGGUGGAGCGGUGAAAUGCGUAGAUAUCAGGAGGAACACCGGCGGCGAAGGCGGCCGGCUGGACUGCGACUGACGUUGAGGCUCGAAAGCGUGGGGAGCGAACAGGAUUAGAUACCCGGGUAGUC